GAGGCUUUGUAGGGCGCCGGAAAAUGUUUUCAUUCUUUUUUUUUUUAAUUCGAAAAGUGCAUGGAGAGAUUCCAGAUGCCACUAAGGUGGAAUGGGAGAUUUAUAAGAAAAUCGCGAUUAUCUCGCUUCCUAUGCGUCCUAGCGCGGAAAUAAGGCUAGAUUCGUUUAUAACUGGGCGAGACGCAUCGAUUUCCCAUAACCUCCGAGAAGUCGAGUUGGGUCGGACAAAACAAUUGCAGGAGUCGAAUUGAACAUCCACUAUUGGGACAUCGGAUCGCAGUCAAUUACUUCAAUCACCAGUAAUUUCGGUUUUCACGACGGAUUCGCAGUUCUCCAGGUAGCAGAGAAAAAGAAUAUCAACGACGAUGGGAUGACUCGUGGAGAAAACA